UCCUGCAUUCUCUAAGUGAGCAGGCCAGUAAGCAGUACCCUCCAUGGCCUCUGCAGCAGCUCCUCUCUCUAGGAUCCUGUCCUAUUUGUGUUCCUGUCCUGACUUCCUUCAGUGAUGAACAGCAAUGUGGAAAUCAAUAGAAACCCCAACUAAGACAGCAAUGAUUCCUACUGCAUUUUGGAGAGGAUACCCUAAGAAUAUCUAGAAAAUCUGUCAUCCACCACCUAAUUCUGCCUCAGGUGACUCAGUUCUGUGGCAUUUCCAGGCGGCUUCAAAAGGCUUAUAGACUAAAUGACUCGAGCAGCAGAAGUGCCACCUUGGACCAGGAGGUAUUUAAUUUGUUGGGUUUUCCUUUUUUUAAAAAAAUCCUUCUUUCCUCUUCUCUCUUUUCCUCCCUCC